rnacentral:rRNA from 1 species
UACGAAGGGGGCUAGCGUUGUUCGGAUUUACUGGGCGUAAAGCGCACGUAGGCGGAUCGUUAAGUCAGGGGUGAAAUCCUGGAGCUCAACUCCAGAACCGCCUUUGAUACUGGCGAUCUCGAGUCCGGAAGAGGUGAGUGGAACUCCUAGUGUAGAGGUGGAAUUCGUAGAUAUUAGGAAGAACACCAGUGGCGAAGGCGGCUCACUGGUCCGGAACUGACGCUGAGGUGCGAAAGCGUGGGGAGCAAACAGG